ACCCAGGCGUGUGUUCCAGACCAGCGGGUGUUACUCCAUUAUCUGCACACAUGAAUUGCCCAGAAGAGAGGCGACAAACAAAAGUGCAGGGCCCUCCUAACUUCGUCGCCAGUUAUAGAAGGAGCCUCUGUAACCUGCUCAUUACUACUUCGAAUGGAGGAGUCGUGGCUGCUCCGGGUACUGUACAGAUUUGAACAUGGCCUGCAGGGACAAAUGCUCCUACCAGGUAGUCUACGGAGCAAGAUAUGUGGUCAAGAUACUGGUUGAACAAGACAAGGUGAUGUGCUUGUGGAAGUAGGCUGCUCUUUCCGACGAAGAUGCAAAGUGAUACGGUUGCUGUGCAUUAAACAAAACAUCCGGAGAGCAUUUUUCAUGUUAUUUUCAGGCAAUUACAACUCGCGCUUCAAGCAAAACCACCUUUUUGCCAAUUCACUGAGGAAUUUCCUGCAUGGAGAUCACACUUCACAGUCUCUUCUUGUAGCAAAUUAACUUUGCUCUGCCUCCCUAGAUUUCAUCGCUUUCUGUUUUCUUGAAAUGUUGUGUGCCAAUGUACGUGUGUCACACCGUAGUGACAACAUAUACAGGUGUCCCGAGAUUUGGUAAGC